rnacentral:pre_miRNA from 1 species
AAUGGGAUAGCUGGGUCAAAUGGUGGUUCCAUUUCAAUUUUUCUGAGGAAUCUCCAUACUGCUUUCCAGAGUGGUUGCACCAAUUUUCAGUCCCACCAGCAAC